AGUGUAUAUCUAUUUUGCUGAGUUUAAAAAGCUCGUAGUUGGAUCUGUGUGUUCGGCGUCCGGUGCGGUCUCUGGCCGCCACUGGAACGCGACACAUCGAAUGCCGGUGUGCCGUCGAUGCUCUUCAUCGGGUGUCGGCGGUGGCUGGCGAGUUUACUUUGAACAAAUUAGAGUGCUCAACGCAGGCGUUUCGCUUGUAUAUUUCUGCAUGGAAUAAUAGAAUAGGACCUCGGUUCUAUUUUGUUGGUUUUCGGAAGUGAGGUAAUGAUUAAGAGGGACUGACGGGGGCAUUCGUACUGCGACGUGAGAGGUGAAAUUCUUGGAUCGUCGCAAGACGCACUACUG
rnacentral:rRNA from 1 species